AAACAAAUAAUGAAUGUUUUUAUUCGUGCAAUGGUAAGAAUAUUUUCAUUCAGUGAAACUGAGAUGGAAUGUUCCAUUCAACUCGGCUGUCGCCUCGUUGAAUGCAUGGAACAUUCCAUCUUUCACCGAAUGAAAAUAUUCUUACCAUUGCACUCAUAAACAUUCAUUAUUUGUAUGUUU
rnacentral:miRNA from 1 species